GAUGAACGCUGGCGGCGUGCUUAACACAUGCAAGUCGAACGAUGAAGCCCAGCUUGCUGGGUGGAUUAGUGGCGAACGGGUGAGUAACACGUGAGUAACCUGCCCUUAACUCUGGGAUAAGCCUGGGAAACUGGGUCUAAUACCGGAUAGGAGCGUCCACCGCAUGGUGGGUGUUGGAAAGAUUUAUCGGUUUUGGAUGGACUCGCGGCCUAUCAGCUUGUUGGUGAGGUAAUGGCUCACCAAGGCGACGACGGGUAGCCGGCCUGAGAGGGUGACCGGCCACACUGGGACUGAGACACGGCCCAGACUCCUACGGGAGGCAGCAAUGGGGAAUAUUGCACAAUGGGCGCAAGCCUGAUGCAGCGACGCCGCGUGAGGGAUGACGGCCUUCGGGUUGUAAACCUCUUUCAGUAGGGAAGAAGCGAAAGUGACGGUACCUGCAGAAGAAGCACCGGCUAACUACGU
rnacentral:rRNA from 1 species